rfam:Triticum aestivum genome assembly, contig: Triticum_aestivum_CS42_TGACv1_scaffold_147132_2BS
GUGGUACGCCCUCCGUCCGAAAAUACUUGUCAUCAAAAUGGACAAAAAGGUAUGUAUCUAGAAUUAAAUACAUCUAGAUACAUCUCUUUUUAUUCAUUUUGAUGACAAGUAUUUCCGGACGGAGGGAUUACUAU